GACGAACGCUGGCGGCGUGCUUAACACAUGCAAGUCGAACGGACAGGCCCUGCUUUUGUGGGGUGCUCGAGUGGCGAACGGGUGAGUAACACGUGAGUAACCUGCCCUUGACUUUGGGAUAACUUCAGGAAACUGGGGCUAAUACCGGAUAGGAGCUCCUGCUGCAUGGUGGGGGUUGGAAAGUUUCGGCGGUUGGGGAUGGACUCGCGGCUUAUCAGCUUGUUGGUGGGGUAGUGGCUUACCAAGGCUUUGACGGGUAGCCGGCCUGAGAGGGUGACCGGCCACCUUGGGCCUGAGAUACGGCCCAGACUCCUACGGGAGGCAGCAGUGGGGAAUAUUGCACAAUGGGCGGAAGCCUGAUGCAGCAACGCCGCGUGCGGGAUGACGGCCUUCGGGUUGUAAACCGCUGUCGCCUGUGACGAAGCGUGAGUGACGGUAAUGGGUAAAGAAGCACCGGCUAACUACGUG
rnacentral:rRNA from 1 species